GGCCGCCUGGCGAAAUGGCAUCGCGUCUGACUACGAUGUUUAAAACUUCGUUGUCUUUAUCACGUUUUGUAAUCAGGAGAUUGCAGGUUCGACCCCUGCGGUGGUCA
rnacentral:tRNA from 1 species